GAAAUGCGAUAAGUAAUGUGAAUUGCAGAAUUCAGUGAAUCAUCGAAUCUUUGAACGCACAUUGCGCCCGCCAGUAUUCUGGCGGGCAUGCCUGUUCGAGCGUCAUUUCAACCAUCAAGCCCCCGGGCUUGUGUUUGGGACCUGCGGCUGCCGCAGGCCCCGAAAACCAGUGGCGGGCUCGCUGUCACACCGGGCGUAGUAGAUUUUUCGUCUCGCCCAGGGCGUGCUGCGGGUUCCGGCCGUUAAAAAGCCUCUCUUUUAACCCAAGGUUGACCUCGGAUCAGGUAGGAAGACCCGCUGAACUUAAGC
rnacentral:misc_RNA from 1 species